rnacentral:lncRNA from 1 species
GGGGAAGGGGCAAAAAGAGAGAGGGAGACACAGAAUCCGAAGCAGGCUCCCGGCUCCCAGCUGUCAGCACAGAGCCCGACGCGGGGCUCGAACUUACGAAACCGCGAGUCCACGGCCUGAGCCGAAGCCGGACGCUCAACUGACUGAGCCACCCAGGCGCCCCCACAGUUCUUGAUUUUUAAAUGUGGAAGUCACGGUAAUGACUCAGUUGCACGCUGGUAUAUGUUUAACAUUUAACAUGUGUUGUUCUGAUGUGAAUCUCGGUUGGUGUUUUUGUUUACGUUAGCGAGGAAGACAAAACACAACAAAAGCCUGCGUUGGAACGCCACCUGCUCCUCAGUGCGGAGAGCAACUUCUUUGUGCCUGUUCACCAAAGAGCGGCCAUGGGCACCUCAUACCUUUUGCGUUAAAUCUACUUUAUUAACACUUGGCACGUCCCUUUCUUACCUCGAGACAAGCAACAAAACAAUUACAAAUCAAGCCCCAGUUUAGAGCAUUUGCCAAGAUCUGUGGUGUUAAUGCUCCCACUGCGGCUGAUUUCAAGUCACCAACAUGAUUCCUUUGACAGCGGGACGGGGGAGAUGCACAGGUCCCAUUAUAUGCGGUUCUGCCAGAGGGGUGUGAUGGGUGUAAACAACUCUAAGAGCAGAGGAUGAUAAUAAAACGUGGUCAAGUAGUUAGGAAGUGGUGAGUUUUGAACGAUUUUUAAUGUGAUUCGUUUGAUUGCAAGUUUAUAUAAUUUGACUUUUAAUGAUAGCUGCAUUUCAGAGCCGGCUCACGAGGUUCCUGAAAAUGCAACCCCUGGCUCUCAUGAGCUGGUCUGAGGCAUCCGGCAGGCUGCCUGCCAGAAAUCACUGUAUCCCUGUACCCGCAGCUCCCCGAGUGUGGGGACGACAGAAAUUCCCCGCCAUUGUUCCGAUGAUCUUUGUUCUUCUCUUAUGUGGAAAAUGAGCUUAUCCUGGAUCUUCCUUCUGAGAGCAUCCUUCCGGCUCAGUAAUCACCGUAAGACCAUUACUCUACAUUCAUUGGCUGAAAUCACAAAAGAUCUUCAUAAGAGGAGGAAACUGAGGCCCAUAGAGAGGUCCGGUAAGUUGCCUGAAAUGACACAAGUAAUAGCAGAUCCAGAAUUUAAACCCAGAAGUGCACGCACCCCAGAUCUGUGCCUUUUACGCUCAUGUGGCCAACCCUCGGACUCCAGGGGGGCUGCUGGGGUGACUGCCUUCCUCUUCAAGUGAUGACAUACGUACCAGUCUCUGCCCUAGUCGGCCUGUGGCGGCCACACCUGGAUCCGUGAGCGGAAACACCGCCCGCCACCCCGGAAAUCCCACACCGUGCAUGCGACACCUCGCAAAAGACAAUCGAUGGCUCCUGACAAUUUUUUCAUUUAGCAUGAAAUAUGGAAAGCAUAUUUUGAUCUUUGGUUUUCUUCCAUUUCCCAUCUGUUCUUCAUUAGGAU